AGUGAACGCUGGCGGUAGGCCUAACACAUGCAAGUCGAACGGCAGCACAGUAAGAGCUUGCUCUUACGUGUGGCGAGUGGCGGACGGGUGAGGAAUACAUCGGAAUCUACUUUUUCGUGAGGGAUAACGUAGGGAAACUUACGCUAAUACCGCAUACGACCUACGGGUGACAGCAGGGGAUCUUCUGACCUUGCGCGAUUGAAUGAGCCGAUGUCGGAUUAGCUAGUUGGCGGGGUAAAGGCCCACCAAGGCGACGAUCCGUAGCUGGUCUGCGAGGAUGAUCAGCCACACUGGAACUGAGAAACGGUCCAGACUCCUACGGGAGGCAGCAGUGGGGAAUAUUGGACAAUGGGCGCAAGCCUGCUCAAGCCAUACCGGGUGGGUGAAGAAGGCCUUCGGGUUGUAAAGCCCUUUUGUUGGGAAAGAAAAGCAGCAGGUUAAUACCCCGCUGUUCUGACGGUACCCAAAGAAUAAGCACCGGCUAACUUCGU
rnacentral:rRNA from 1 species